GACGAACGCUGGCGGCGUGCCUAAUACAUGCAAGUCGAGCGGAUGGAAGGAAGCUUGCUUCCUAAAGUCAGCGGCGGACGGGUGAGUAACACGUGGGCAACCUGCCCCUAAGUUCGGGAUAACUUCGGGAAACCGGAGCUAAUACCGGAUAUGAUUAUGUCUCACAUGAGACAUAAUGGAAAGACGAUUUCGGCUGUCACUUAGGGAUGGGCCCGCGGCGCAUUAGCUAGUUGGUGAGGUAACGGCUCACCAAGGCGACGAUGCGUAGCCGACCUGAGAGGGUGAUCGGCCACACUGGGACUGAGACACGGCCCAGACUCCUACGGGAGGCAGCAGUAGGGAAUCUUCCGCAAUGGACGAAAGUCUGACGGAGCAACGCCGCGUGAGUGAAGAAGGUUUUCGGAUCGUAAAACUCUGUUGUUAGGGAAGAACAAGUACCAUAGUAACUGAUGGUACUUUGACGGUACCUAGCCAGAAAGCCACGGCUAACUACGUGCCAGCAGCCGCCGUAACAC
rnacentral:rRNA from 1 species